rnacentral:rRNA from 1 species
UACGUAGGGUGCAAGCGUUAUUCGGAAUUACUGGGCGUAAAGCGUGCGUAGGCGGUUCUCCAAGUCCGUUGUGAAAUCCCCGGGCUUAACCUGGGAAUGGCAGUGGAAACUAGGGGACUUGAAUUUGGCAGAGGGGGGUGGAAUUCCACGUGUAGCAGUGAAAUGCGUAGAGAUGUGGAGGAACACCGAUGGCGAAGGCAGCCCCCUGGGCUGAGAUUGACGCUGAGUGCACGAAAGCGUGGGGAGCAAACAGG